CCGUCAGAAUUGCCGGAGCUUCAAAGGUGCCAAAGGAGGUAAAUGUGUGAAGCAGCCCAAACACAAACCUAUCAAAUGCUUCUGCGACUACUGCAAAGACGACUAGACUUCACAAAAAACGCCUUAAAUAGAACCACUGGUUCUAGCUUCACUCUCCAAACGCAACCACCCCUUCUCGACCUAAAUGUUUGUAAUUUCCAUAUAAAUUUUAUAAAAUGUAUCUUUGAUGUUUGUUUGUCCCAGCAUUUUCAUGUAUUCUCGGCAUCAUAAAUCAUAACAAUAUUUCCCCAGUUGCUAAAAAUAAAGGAACGUCUGUAAACAAUGUUGUCAUAAUUUUCAUGUCUUAUCAAAGAACAUGAUGAAAAGAUAAGUGACAAUCAGUAGUACGAAGGAUCAUUAUGACAAGCUAGUGUCGGAGGAGCUUAAACACAAGGCCCACAAUGUAGAAAAUACAGGAUACUUUUCAUUUUUAUAUUAAAGUAAACAACACACAUCUAAUAAAAAUAAAUAAUGGAUGGAUUUUUCAUAUGAAAUCAAACUAUUAAAAAAAUUAUUAACAAAUUUAUUAGUUUAUUUAAAUCCAAACUAAUACAUAAUUUUAUUUUAUAAAAUUUAUAUUCUAAUUAUCCAACAUAAACACAAACCUACGUAUAACUUUGUUAAUUAUGAACUUUAGAUCCUAAUUUUUUUUUAAUUUAAAACUAUAUAUAUAUAUAUAUAUAUAUAUAUCUUCGUUUCAUUAUACUUUACUCUUUAUUUAUAAAUUUAAACUGACAUAUAAUCUCCUUAAACUGUUAUAAUGGAGUUUCAUAAGAUCAGAAACGAAGUUAUAAAGAUUGAGUCUUUUAAUUUUAGGAAAAAUAAAUAAUGGAGCUUUCAGAAGACCGUAUGAAAACGUCUUCCUAGACAUAUCUAGAACGCACCAUUAUUAUUAUUAUUUUCCUUUUUGGUUUAAUAUACAUAUAAAUAUAUACAAAAAAUUUCUUAUAAAAUAAUGAAUCCCAACAAAUCAUUAUAAAACAGUAAUGGCCGUACAACCCUUAUCCAGAUUGUAGCAAUACAGGAUGCUUUUAAAUAACACGUACGUGUAUUGUUGAUAUAUGAUGCCAUGUCACGUGUGUGUGUGUGUGUGUGCGCGCCUUUACAAUUCCAAGAUGUGGUCCUGUGGACCGAGCACAAUAAAAAAGGUCAAUUUUACUCUUGCAACGUCCUUGAACGAUGCACAAUAGCUAAACACACGGUUAAAGUAGUACAAUUUAUGAAAACAUAAUCUGUCGAUUAAUAAAAAGAGUAAGAGAAUGCAAAUCUAAGUGGAACUUAAAAAAUAAAAAUUAAGAGAGAAUAAUGUCCAAUUAGAAGUUCGUUUUUGAAUUCCAAGCAAUGCAACGAUGAAGUUUCAGUCACCCAGCAUUACCAUCUUCCAUGGAAGAUAGUUGAAACCGUUUCUCCCCUCCGAGAUAUCUGAACAAAAUUAUGAAGACACAAGAUCAGAAUUCUAGAAAAUAAGCCUUACAUUACAUGAGUAAAGCAGAAGAAUCUUGAGGAGAGAAAUCUGAAAGUUUUUGUGAACUCAUGAGGGUGACGCAACGAUGAAGAACAUAUCUCUAAACAGAUUUAUAUAAGGAUCAUGAAUUUUUUUUGAAGAUGUAUCGUUUCCCAAAAGGACUUGUAGGAGGACACGAUGUCACACUGUUCUUUUUUCUUUCCGUCGACUCUUCAGUUUUGAUUUAGUUAUUUUGCUUAAUUCAGUAAUUUAUUUAAUUAUUUUGGUUAGUUUUGAUUAAUCUUAAUAAAUUUUUAAAUUACGCGUAUACGAAUAUUAUUCGGUAAAAUAACUUGUCCUUUAUAAGAUAAAAAGGAUGUUUAAACCAUAAUAGAUGGGAUGUCGAGUCCUUAAUCCGUAUAGAUCUUUAAACGCAACCGCCCCUUAUUCUCGCCGUAAAUAUAUGUUUGUAAUUUCCAUACAAAUUUAUAAAUGUAAGUUUGAUGUAAUAAUGUCGUCCCAACAUUUUCAUGUGUGUCGGCAUAAUACGUUAUCCUUUCAUAAUCAUAUGUGUUCAUUAUAUUUAAUCAUAGCAAGUUAUUUGCUAAACAUAAGACCAUCCUCAAUGGGGGUAUCUUAGAAGAUACCCCCAUCGAGGAUGCCCUAAAGGAAUUUUUGUAAACAGUUAAUGCCGUCACAGUUUUUCAUGUCUUUUAUCAAGAAUAUGAAAAGAUAAGCGAGAAUUGAUGGUACGAUAGGAUAAUUUACAUAUAGCAGACCCGGUUCUAAGCUAGUGUUGGAGGAGCUUGAACACAUGCAACGCCUAUACAAAAAAAAAUUAAUGUAUAUUAUACGGCCCAGAUUGUGGAAAUACAGGAUCAUGUAAAUUUCUUUUUAAUUAAAGUAAAUAACAUGUAUGUUGGUGAAUCACUAAUGUUGAUCUACUAUGACAGAUAUUGCGUAGAAGAUAUAUAUAUAUUCGAAGAGGGCUCUGGUCCAGCCUACUCGGUUUGUGGUGAUGACAGCUAAGAUAAUUUACAUACCCUGAUUUAACUUUUUAUCAAAGAAAAAAAAAACAGAAAAAAAAUUACGUACCUUCGUGAAAAAUGCUCUGUCUCAACCGCAAAGAUAAAUAGCACGUACCAAGGGUUGAGCAUCCAGUACCUACAACAUUACCAACUCCAAAGUGAAAGAGAGAGAGAGAGAGAGAGAGAGAGAAAAUGGCCAUGGCAACGAAGUCAGUUUCUACUCUAGUCAUCUUUUUGGUCCUGGCUCUGGCCAUCAAUGGUAAACUAACAAACUCCGUAGUAUUCUCGCAUAUUUUGUUUAACUUGAUGAUUCAUGUAUAGGAUCCAUUGUGUAUUUCUUGUAGCUAGUCAUAUAUGUGAAUUUUCAUUUGCUUAAGUAUAUGGAUGCAGUCUAUGCAGAAAUGCCAAAGACAGAAGCGAGUAAAGCCGCGUGCCUGAGAGAAUACGUCGAUGCGUCUCCAUUCUUUUGUAUGGCUAGGAUUUAUCCGUCAUUGUGUUAUUAUAAAUGCCGU
rnacentral:lncRNA from 1 species